rnacentral:rRNA from 1 species
CACGUAGGGUGCGAGCGUUGUCCGGAAUUAUUGGGCGUAAAGAGCUCGUAGGCGGUGUGUCGCGUCGGCCGUGAAAACCUGCAGCUUAACUGUGGGCGUGCGGUCGAUACGGGCAUCACUGGAGUUCGGCAGGGGAGACUGGAAUUCCUGGUGUAGCGGUGAAAUGCGCAGAUAUCAGGAGGAACACCGGUGGCGAAGGCGGGGUCUCUGGGGCCGAUACUGACGCUGAGGAGCGAAAAGCGUGGGGGAGCGAACAGG